rnacentral:rRNA from 1 species
AUGGUCUUCCACGCCAUUCUCCCCAAGAUAGCCGUCCACUGGCUCAUCAACUUGUACCGCGCGGCCAGGAAGCUCCGCAGCAAUGUCUUUCAGUACUGUCGUAACUCCACCACGACCACCAAGCCAUCCACUCAAGCCAUGUCCAGCUCCGAGCGCACCAUGCCGUCCGCUGCUGAUAGGACGGUGUUGUGCGACUUCCAUAGCGGGCUUCUGAGGUCCACCGGCAUCUUCCCCUACUUCAUGCUCGUCGCCUUCGAGGGCGGCAGCCUGCUCCGGGCGCUGGUGCUGCUCGGCUUCUUCCCCCUUGUAUGGAUACUCGGCGAGCGCUCCGACGCCAGCGUCCGGGUCAUGACGUUCGUCACCUUCGUCGGACUCAGCUCACGGGACGCGGACCUUGUGGCCCGCGUCGUCCUGCCAAAGUUCUAUAUGGAGAGGCUCCACGCGCAUGUGUACGACCACCUGUGGAUGCCGGCGAAGAGGAAGGUGGCGUUGACAACCACGCCGAGGGUAAUGGCGGAGUGGUUCCUUAAAGAGUACAUGGCCGCCAACGUGGUUGUCGGGUGCGAACUCCAGAUGGUUGAGGUAGGGCGUGUGUGGUACUUCACCGGGGUGCUGUGCGGGACAGGGCCAGCCCCGGGCUUGAGGCAGAAGACGCUGAGGGAGGCGUUCGAAGCGGACGGCAACAUGGCCGAUGUUGGCGUCGUCGGGGGCUCCAACCCACUCGACCACCUCUGCACCCCCUACUGCAAGGAGCUUUAUGUGGUCAGUUGGGAGAGUGCCAAGACUGCCCGUCUGCCGCGAGAGAGGUACCCGAAGCCGCUCAUCUUCCACGACGGACGUCUCGCCUUUCUGCCCACCGCCCCCGCCAUGCUCGCCUUCUUCCUGUUUUUGCCGCUCGGUUUUAUACUCUCCGUCAUCCGCAUCUCCAUUGGCAUCGUCCUGCCAUACAACAUCAGCUUUGCAGCCAGCGCGUUGGCUGGAGUCUGCUUCCGCACCUCCGGCCGCCGCGUCCCGGAGGCCGGCGCUAAGCGCAGGGGCGUCCUGUUCGUGUGCACGCACCGGACGCUGGUGGACCCGAUCAUGCUAACCGCCGCGCUGCAGAAGCCCGUGCCAGCCGUGACGUACAGCCUCAGCCGGCUCUCCGAGAUCAUCGCGCCCAUCAAGACAGUGCGGCUGACGCGUGACCGUGACCACGACGCCGCCAUGAUGUCGCGGCUGCUGGAGAAGGGAGACCUCGCGGUCUGCCCCGAGGGCACCACCUGCCGCGAGCCCUACCUGCUACGGUUCAGCCCGCUGUUCGCCGAGCUGGCCGACGACAUGGAGCCCGUGGCGCUGGACGCGCAGGUGACGUCGCUGUAUGGCACGACGGCGAGCGGCCACAAGUGGCUCGACCCCUUGGCGUUCUUCGCCAACCCUGUGCCUGCGUACCGGGUGGAGUUCCUGGGCCCCGUGCCACGGGAUCAGACGCGCGCAGGGGGGAGGACCAGCGCCGAGGUAGCCAACUGGGUUCAGCGGCGGCUCGGCGAGGCGCUUGGGUUCGAAUGCACCGGCCUUAGUCGCCGUGACAAGUACAUCAUGCUCGCCGGGAACGACGGUGUGGUCCGCAAGUAG